rnacentral:ncRNA from 1 species
CCUAUGAAGCUUUACUAUUCCCUAGAUUGGCUUUGGGCCUUUCCUGCGCAGCUUAGGUGGAAGGCGAAGAAGGCCCCCUUCCGGGGGUGGCGAGCCAUCAGUGAGAUACCACUCUAGAAGAGCUCGGAUUCUAACCUUGUGUCAGACCCGUGGGCCAAGGGACAGUCUCAGGUAGACAGUUUCUGUGGGGCGUAGGCCUCCCAAAAGGUAACGGAGGCGUGCGAAGGUUUCCUCGGGUCAGACGGACAUUGGUCCUUGAGUGCAAAGGCAUAAGGGAGCUUGACUGCAAGACUCACCCGUUGAGCAGAGACGAAAGCCGGCCUUAGUGAUCCGACAGUGCCGAGUGGAAGGGUCGUCGCUCAACGGAUAAAAGUUACUCUAGG